UACGGAGGGUGCAAACGUUGCUCGGAAUCAUUGGGCGUAAAGCGCACGUAGGCGGCGCGUUAAGUCGGAUGUGAAAGCCCCGGGCUCAACCCGGGAAGUGCAUACGAAACUGGCGCGCUUGAAUAUGGAAGAGGGUCGCGGAAUUCCCGGUGUAGAGGUGAAAUUCGUAGAUAUUCGGAAGAACACCAGUGGCGAAGGCGACUUACUGGACACAUAUUGACGCUGAGGUGCGAAAGCGUGGGGAGCAAACAGG
rnacentral:rRNA from 1 species